GUGCCGUAUGUCACUUGUACUUUACACUUGUAACCUAGACCGCUGCCGUCCGCAAACAGAGAAGUAAUGGAGCGCGCAAAGAUAAGUAUGCAGAAAAUAUCACAAGCACUUCUUUUAUGCUGUACAAAAAAUUUAUGGCGAUAUCUAUUCAGUACCUCAGAUAUAUCUGUUUUUCUAGCAAAUGAGAGAUAUACAGACACGUACAUCCUUUUUCACAAAUGGAGGGAUCCACAGUUUUACUUUGCCUCCGAACGGCAAAUAGUUAUUUUACGAAGAACUUUUUCUUGACAGAAAUACACUCGGAGGUUAGCCAUUGUCUACCGAGGAGUGACCGUUAUUGGAGAACAACUUUUUCUGCCAAUUGGUGCCUUGAUCCUGGGCACUACCAAAUGGUAGCCACGCACCAAUUUGCGGAGUUUUCGCAAUUUUUGCACAAAGAUUGAACAAAUUUCUAAUAUGGUUUUUGUUAUGUAAUGAGUUAAACUUUUAUAAAAA